AUUCCGAUGAGGUAGACAUCCCCAAUAAGUAUAGGAAGUGCCGUAUGACACUUUAAACCGCACCGGAUCACGGCGGCGCGUGUCCUUCCACCAAUUCACCACCUCUCCGAUCAUUAACACGAUCUCGAGCUCCGGUUUUUGGUCUGGAUACCUCGCUUUGCCUCUUCCGCUGUGUGUGUGAUUUUGAACGGGUCUCUGAGGUUUCUUCUUCUUUAAGUUUCACACAUUUUCUCACACUCACGCGCUCCCACGCGCCGCCGAUGUUUACCUAACAUUUAAGGUUCGAUGCACGUCACCGGUAGCCAAAAGUGCAGUGAGGUUUCUUCUUCUUUAAGUUUCACACAUUUAUCACACUCACGCGCUUCCACGCGCCGCUGAUGUUUACCUAACAUUUUAGGUUCGAUGCCACGUCACCGGUAGCCAAAAGUGCAGUGACCGUUGAUGCUAUGAUUGAACCGAUAAUAAACUUUCGUGUGUUUCGCAUUUUAUAGGAACCUGUGAAUCGAUAAUAAUCCGUUCGUUCACGGAGCCGUUUUUUGCGAUUACAUUUUUUUAAAAAUUUAUAAUGAUAUUUUUUUGAUUUUUUUUAAAAAAAGUUGUGCCUGUGAUGAUUCAUUUUAAAAAUGUUGGAAUUACCGACUGAUUUUUUUGUGAUGACAGAUCGACUAGCUGAGGCACUUU
rnacentral:lncRNA from 1 species